UCUCCAUUGAAGCUUUUCAUUGCACUCUAUCGUCUCUUGAUUUCUCUCAAGUUUUCUUCAUCACUGAUCUCAAUUUCUCACUCUUUCGUCUCUCAGCCGGUCUCUCCAUUUCUGUUCGCUCAAGAGCCAUCCAUCUCUUGCGCUCUCUUCACCAUUGCCAUCUCUCUGUCUGUUCUUCAAGUGUGGGUGUCGUUUGUGAGAUGAAAAAUGAAGUUUGGUUUUUUCCUGAUCUGUGAGGUGGAAUGACAUUUGGAAUGUGAUGAAUGGAACUUUCGCAUCCAGUUCCUUACGUGCUGCGUUUUCGCACUGUGUACAGCAAGUGCGAAGCUAUGACUACCAUCACUACCUCUGCCUCCUCGAACUUCCCCCUGCUAUGAGAAAGGCUGCAUUUGCACUUCGAGCAUUUAAUGUUGAAACAUCGAGAGCCAUGGAUGUUGCUACUGAUCCCAGGAUAGGUCUUAUGCGACUUGUGUGGUGGCAGGAAGCUAUUGACAAAAUAUAUGCUAGUAAAAAGAUUGAACAUCCAAUAGCGCAAGCCCUUUCAUCUGUGAUAUCGGAGAACAAAAUUAGCAAACUAUGGCUGAAAAGGUCGGUUGAGGCUCGGAUUAAUGAUGCCAGAAGGGAGGACACCGACAUUCCAACAACCAUUGAUGAACUAGAGAAAUAUGCCGAAGAUACUGCAUCAACACUACUCUACAUGACCCUUCAAGCUGGUGGCAUUAGGUCGACAACAGCCGAUCAUGCCGCAUCUCAUAUUGGUAAGGCCAGCGGCCUGCUCUUGUUGCUGAAGUCAUUACCAUAUCAUGCUACUCGAAAUCGCCAUUUUUCUUACAUUCCUGUUAAAGUGGCCGAAAAUCACGGUUUGUUGGCAAAGCAGGGAGUGCAUUUUGAGAUACGCUUGGAUUCAAGAGAGAGCCUAUGUGAUGCAGUUUUUGAGAUGGCUUCAGUAGCGAAUGCUCAUUUGCAAAAAGCUCGAGACUUGGCUGGGACGGUGCCGAGGGAGGCUCUGCCUGUGCUUCUGCAGGCCGUGCCAGCUCAGGUUCUUUUGGAUUCUUUAAGGAAAGUACAGUUUGAUGUUUUUGACCCAAGAUUACAACGUGGAGUUUUGGGUGUUUCUCCUUUGUGGUUUCAAAUGAGAUUGAAGUGGUCUUCUUGGAGGGGAAAAUACUAACAAUAUUUUUCUUUACUCUAGGGAAGAUUUUAUUGUUUAUCCUGUAUUUUCCUCGAGAUUUGUGAAAUUUGGAAUUACCUUUUGGGCUUCGUGGGAGGAUAGAAAUAAGAUUCAUUUUGGCGAGGCUUUGACGACCAUGGAGUACAAAUCCGAAUGCUUUAUCGAACAUGGCUGAAAGCUGGAAGGAUUUCUAAUGCGCCGAUGUUGGACAACCUGAGGAGUCACAGGGGUCUAUUGUCUUCCUGGUGUUCCCUCGACUUUGGUGUGGUCCGAUUAAAAUAUUGACAGUGCUGUCUUCUUCUAUGGGUUUAGGGGCAGUGAGCCAGGACAAUCGUGGUUCUGUUGUGGUGGCUCAAGCGUUGGUGUGCGAUGGGUUUUUAUCUUGUUGAUCUUCACUAUGCCCCUAGGAGAUGUAAUGGUGUUGCCAACAAAUUGGCUAAAUUUGCGUUUUCUUCAAAUUAUUCUUGUACUUGGAUGAAUAGCUAUGUCUCGUAUCUUGACAAGUUUCAAAUGGAAAGUUAAUAAAUGACAAGUUUCUUGGGAGAA